UUAUAUCAAAUCCCUCAGGUGCUACUGUGUAGGGUUGGUGUCUUCAGGUUGUAGGAGCGGCUACCUAUGUGAUUGUGAAUGCGCCGUUUUAGUCAUACGACAGUAGGCUACAUCUAUCAACUCCUCCUCCAGCCUUCGCCCUUUUACAGUAUAUUCUCCAUCCCCUGCGGCGACACCAAACAUCCGUCGCAGAGAUCAAGAUGCCUAUGCAGCUGAGAAGCCAUUACUGACCUUUACUGUUAUAGUUACUGAGAAAAAGUCCGAGAUAAUUUGGAUAACUGCCACUGAAUAUUCGCUCUCUUUCCCCUCCCUCUUGGGGUCCAUAACAGCAACGUGUGCCUGGAUUAGUGUAAAUCUUCACCAAGAAAACAACAGUGACAGUUGACACGCGGUACAAAUCUUAAAUACCACGGCAGUUCUGGAAAAGGUCUGUAGGAGAGAGCUGGAUAGAGACUAUAAGAUUCUCGGCUUUAAAAGUGAAGUGCUCACUGUGGCGGUGCGGUGGGGGCUGUAAAGCGGCUGAUGGAGAGUUGACGGACAUGCUCCAGACUAGCAGAGAGUAGCAGAGCAUGGACCUCCAUGAUGGAGAGCAGAGGGGGUCCAGAGAGCAGCAGAGCAUGGACCUCCAUGAUGGAGGGCAGACAGGCUCCAGAGAGCAGCAGAGCAUGGACCUCCAUGAUGGAGGGCAGACAGGCUCCAGAGAGCAGCAGAGCAUGGACCUCCACGAUGGAGAGCAGACAGGCUCCAGAGAGCAGCUGAGCAUGGACCUCCAUGCUCCCCAGACUGCAGGGGUGUGGACUGUCCUCUGGAGGGCAGCGUUCUGAGCAGUGGGGGUCACAGUGCCUGAUGAUCUACCUGUAUGGUCCUCAGGGUCAGAGGUCAGGGGUUGGUCACCACUGGUUAUUAAGAUACCAUAUAUGUGACUCGUUUCUGGAAACUAGACAUAUGUCGCAGGUCACUACUUCACAGGAGACACAUUUGAACGUAAACAUUUUUUUGGCAGAAAUGCCUUUUGGAAAAUGUGAACUUUAAUGUGCCUUAAAUCAGACCUGUAUGCCAUCUGUAAAUACAAAUAAAAUGUUAAAUUAUGAGCCUAGUUGGUUUAGCCACCCACAGAAAAAGCCAGCAACCUUACCGCUAGCCAUGAUUGGCUGAGAUAAUGAGUGGUCUGACAUGCUGAGAGAUGAGUUUGGAUUGGUCUGCCAUAUACUGUAGCAGAUUUCUGUCUAUUUGAGCUGGUCAGUAUGUGUAGGACAUCCUGUCUAACGUGGCUUUAAAAAAAUAUCGAGAGAACAAGGGCAUAAGUGUUGCUCUCCGCUUUCUGAAGGACCAAGUUUUGAAAGCAGUGGAAUUAGAGUACGAUAGCUAAGGGGAUGGAGAAAACACCUGUCUCCACAUUACAUCUCCAAACUAAGGGCAACCAUGGCACCUGUGACAGGGAGGGGCAUCCAUCCAUAAUGUAUACUGGUAAGAUACUCCAGCUAGCUACAUUUUCAGAUAUUACACAUUUCUAAAUUUGACAGAAAUCAUUUUCAUUUCAAAUUAAAGUGUACUGUUAGCUAGCUAGCUAACGUUAGCUGGCUGGCUCGCAAGCUAACGUUAUGUGUAUGAUCUUAUUAUUUGUAUCUAAGAGCCAUUUGCUUUGGUAUUUAUAGCCUAAUGUCA